CGUACAGGAUUAGAUACCCUGGUAGUCCACGCAGUUAACGAUGCUCACUCGCUGUUGGCAAUAGAUCGUCAGCGGCUAAGGGUAACCGAUAAGUGAGCCACCUGGGGAGUACGAUCGCAAGAUUGAAACUCAAAGGAAUUGACGGGGGCCCGCACAAGCGGUGGAACAUGUGGUUUAAUUCGAUGAUACGCGAGGAACCUUACCUGGCUUAAAUGUACGAUGCAUAAGUGUGAAAGCACUUUUUCCUUCGGGACUUUGUACAAGGUGCUGCAUGGUUGUCGUCAGCUCGUGCCGUGAGGUGUCGGGUUAAGUCCCAUAACGAGCGCAACCCCUAUUGUUAGUUACCAGCGCAUAAAGGCGGGGACUCUAGCGAAACUGCCGGUGUAAACCGCGAGGAAGGUGGGGAUGACGUCAAAUCAGCACGGCCCUUAUGUCCAGGGCUACACACGUGUUACAAUGGCCGGUACAGCGGGCAGCGAGGCAGCGAUGCCGAGCGAAUCUCGAAAGCCGGUCCCAGUUCGGAUUGGAGUCUGCAACCCGACUCCAUGAAGGUGGAAUCGCUAGUAAUCGCGCAUCAGCCAUGGCGCGGUGAUACGUUCCCGGGCAUUGUACACACCGCCCGUCAAGCCAUGGAAGUCUGGGGUGCCUGAAGGCCGUAACCGCGAGGAGCGGUCUAGGGUAAGCAGAUGACUGG
rnacentral:rRNA from 1 species